AGUCUCUAAGGUGCCACAAGUACUCCUUUUCUUUUUGCGAAUACAGACUAACACGGCUGCUACUCUGAAAACUUUCUUGACAGUAAUACUGGUAACAACUUGGUUGCCCUUAGUUAAACUUUCCCUCUUAUCUUUUGUGGGUAAGUUUAAUACAUUAGCUUUUCACCUGUGUAGCCUAGUUCAGACCCUCAUUAUUAAAUAGCCUACAAAUUCUGUACAGCGGUUAAGCAUAUGCUCCUCAGGUUCUUACACAUGAUGAUUUAUGUACUUCUCAUAAGUACAUAAGUUUUUCGUUGUUAUUUUUAUCCUCUAACUUUGACCGUUGUGAAGGCCCUGUGAUUUUUUUUUUUUUUUUUUAAGGUACAUAAUUUGCCAUAGAAUCCACCCCUUGCUCCAGAGUCUAAGCUUUGAUUUAAAACAAAACAUAGGCUGGUCUGCACUGAAAAGUUACAUCUGCAUAGCUGUCUCUCUUAGGAGUGUGAAAAAUCCACACUCUGAGCAAAGGUAAUACGGAGUCACGUGCCCCUAUCCUCCAGGUUUCUGCGAGCACCGAGCUGCCCUUGCAGGGCUCAGAGUGAAUGGACCCUGUAGCCCAUGGCUGCAAUGGCUGGGUGCUGCAUGAAACGCUAUGGGGGCCAGAUGUUGACCAAUACUUAUUACUUUUGAUUGAGCUUUGAUUUAGUAAUUAACUAAGGGCAUUUUUGUGCUAGAAGUACAGUAUUAUAAAUAGAAACUUGAUUGGUCUCUGGCUUCAAUAACUUUUAUCUGCUUUGUACAGCAGGAAGUUCUUUGACUAAAUUUAUGUCAGACAUGUAAUCUCUGCAAACAUAGUGGUGAAAUAAUUAACAGGAGCCUUUUCAGUAUGCAUCUAAAACAAAUACAAGGACAUAUGCUAUAAAAGGAAUAAAACAACGUUUUAGUUUGUAGAUAAUUUGUCCUGUCCUCCAAAUUGUGAUAGGUGGGAUGGGUUUGGAAGGAAGAAUGAAAGUAAAAUUAUUCCAAAGGUACAUCCAUGCAGUGGGGGUGGAUUAGUACAAGUACCUGUCUUCUAUAUUUACAAAUUUCAGUGUCACGUAGCUGAAACUACACAUGCGUGGUAUCUACCAAUAUUGUUUUUAACAGAAAUAGGUAGUAGUUCCUGCUGUUGCCAGGUAAAGCCAUUUUUAAAAGUGAUAUACUUGAGAAGAUGGCUAUGAGACCAGUGUAAACACCUAGAGUUUUAUAUUGGUGUAGAACACUGUUUUGGCUGCCUGAUGUGGACAGGGCCAGAAUGUUAAAUUUGUCUCUGAGGACUUGUCUAAAUUACCUGCUGGCUCGAUGGGCAGCGAUCGAUUCAGCAGGAGUCUAUUUAUCACGUCUAGUCUAGACGCGACAAAUCAACCGCUGAGUGCUCUCCUGUCGACUCCGGUACUCCACCAGGGUGAGAGGCGCAGGCGGAGUCAACGGGAGAGUGUCAGCCAUCGACUUACUGCGGUUAUUCAUGUAGCUGAAGUUGCGUAACUUAGAUCUUGUCCCCCCAGUGUAGACCAGGCCUAAGCCAUGUACUUAGACUAAAGCAAGAGUUACAAACUAGAAUGCCACAUGUGUUAUAAACUGGCUUAUAAGGAUGCAGAGCUUAGUGUUGUGAGGUGAGAGCAAGAAGUGCCAUUAUAGCUGGUAAUGUCACAGAUAGGAUAGUAAGGGUAUGUCUACGCUUAACCUGGGUGAUUUAAGACCUAGGUCUGAGCACUUGGGUUCGUCCAGCCUGAGUACGAGUCUUCCCGCAGCAAAGCCCUUCCCCAUUUAUUUGCCUUCAGUGUGUCUACCCUCAUCAGUGUGUGCCUGUGUGUGUGGUUCUUUGUGUUGAGAUGCUCUGGGAUUUUUUCCCCAGUCAGUUAUGUCAAUUUCUGGAGAGCUCGUCUGCCCCUUGUGGGAGGUGGUGGAGGAGGAAGAGGGAAUUGUGGAAAGGACAUUAGAAUACUAUGAGCACUUGAGUGAUCUUGCCUGCAUCCUCACCGCAAUGGGUUGCAGCCUGAGCUAAGGCACAGCUUCAGCUUUAACCCGUGCCUCUAGCCAUGCAAUCAAGCAUGGGUUCAAAUAGAAAACAAACAAACUUGAAGGAAUCUGAUUAAGCUAAACUGAAAUAAGAGGUUACGUAGGGUUCCAUGGUUUAACUAAAUCAGUUUAAAAAAAAACAACUUAAAUUAAACUGAUGCAAUUUUAUCAUGUAGAUAAAGAGGCCUUAAGAAUGUAGGAAUUGCCAUACUGGAUCAAUACUCUCUCUCAAACAAUGACCAGCUCCAGAAGACUCAGGGGAAGGUGCAAGAAACUGCGCUUAAAACUGGUGAUGGAAUCUUGAGCGGAAUCUCAUCAAUGUCUGCAUACUGAAGUUUUCAAGUGCUGUAUCCUGGGGCUAUACAAGAAGUGACUUGCACGCCCAGGCUGCAGUGUAUUCAAUAUGUUGAUGAAACCCAGCUCCACACUUGGGUUACAACAGACCUGGAUGGUAAAGAGGAACAAGUAUUCCAGUGUUUUAUGAAAUUGGAGUGUGGAUGAUGGUGAGCUGUCUGAGGCUAAAUCCAGAUAAGACUGAAGUGAUGUCGGGGGCACCAACUGCAGGAGCUUGAAAGUGUACCAAAUGGACAACCAACCUAAUUGUUCCUCAGUAACUGAGAAUCUCCACUCAUUGAUGUACUUUGCUGUCCACAACCAAAUCAUUGUACAACUUUUCAUAAGUGAUGUAUUGGGAUUCUAAUAUCCAAACUCUUGUUAAAUCUAUUCACCUUAAUUUGGGUUAUUGUUGAUUAUGUACUCUGUGUAUCAUGACUUUUAAAAACAAACUUUAUAUUUGUGGAUAAUUUAAGCACUAUACUCAGAUGUACAGACCUCUUUUCUCAACCUAUGUAUUAUAUAAUUUUUUUUACAUUAGCUUUAAU